rnacentral:lncRNA from 1 species
CUUAAGGAGACUAGACCUGGAAUCCUUACAGCCAUCCUGAAUUACAUUAUGUAGAGUUCCAUGUGAAUGCUCACAGAAGUCUAUGCAGAAGUCACCAAGAUGAAAUGUUUCUGAGGAUAUCUAAUAAUAUGACUCUUUGUCACCCCCUGCCACUUCCUCCACUUGGAUAAUUGUUACAGUUCCAUUCUCUGCAGAGGGAAACAUGAAGGAAAGUAAUUAUCAUAUUUAACUUACAUAUGAGGGAGGAAAUUUCUAAUAGUAUCUAUUGGGUUUAGAUUUGAAUUUCGUUUUUUU